CUAACAUCUUGACUAUUUUGCAAAUUCUAUACAUAAGAAACGACCACUCUUCUAGCCUGCCCUCUUCUUGCUUCUUAUUAUCUCGCAAUCCCUUCACUGCAUGAAGAUGUUGAGGCUAAGGUUCUGUCUAUUUGGAGUCAUUAUUGCUUUGUUGCAAUGUUACUUUGCUAUGCUUUCUUCAGCGCAGAUGACUCAUCCAUUGGAAGUCAGUGUUUUGCAAGCAGUCCGUCGGAAGCUCAUAGAUACACGGGGCAAUCUUAAUAACUGGAAAAAAAGUGAUCCUUGUACAUCGAACUGGACAGGAGUAGUCUGCAUCUUGGAUAAAAAUGAUGGUUAUUUUCACGUCAAA